ACUAGAAGAAGAAUUGUCUUGGGCUACAGGUCAAAUACAGGGAACAUCACUACACAGUGCUGUACGGCACACUUCCUGUUCAUAUGGGAACUGUACAUCAGUACACCGUGCUGUACGGCACACUUCCUGUUCAUGUGGGAACUGAACAUCAGUGCACCGUGCUGUACGGCACACUUCCUGUUCGUGUGGGAACUGUACAUCAGUACACCGUGCUGUACGGCAUACUUCCUGUUCGUGUGGGAACUGUACAUCAGUACACCAUGCUGUACGGCAUACUUCCUGUUCGUGUGGGAACUAAACGUCAGUACACCGUGCUGUAGGGCAUACUUUCUGUUCGUGUGGGAACUGUAUAUCAUGCUGCCUAUACAGCCUGCAGAACUGAGAGAAGGAAAGAAAAAAAGGAGUGAAGGAGAGGAAGAAAGAGGAAGAAAAAGAGGGAGAGAGAACCGAAAUAUUGACUUAUUCUAAAAAUGGGUAUUAAUAAUGGCCGAUCAAUAUUUCAUUUAAACCUAUGAGUAGGCGUGAUAUGGUAUUGACAAGAAUGUAUAUUUUGUAUAUUUAAAGUGGAGAGCUCUAUAAAUAUUUAUUAAGUUUACUUGUUCCAGAUCUGAGUUCAAGUCCUGGAUAUCCUUAUUAAUAUUCUGUCUCGUUGAGUCUAAGUCUCUUUAUAAGUCUUAUGUAUCUGGGUGUUUAGGAUCGUUAGCUCUUAUUGUUGCAUUGAUCCUUUUACCACUAUAUCUUUGUUGCUUUAAAAUCUAUUUUAUCAGAUGUGAGAAUUGCAACUCCUGCUUUUUAUUUAUUUAUUUAUUUUUGCUCUCCAUUUGGUUGGUAAAUCUUUCUCCAUCCCUUUGUUUUGAGUCUUUGUGUAUCCUUGCAUGUGAAAUGGGUCUGGAUGUAGCAUAUUGAUGGGUUUUGGCUGUAUCUUUUGAUUGGGGGAUUUAGUCGAUUUAAAUUUAGGAUUACUGCCAUUUGAUGUUAACUGAUGUUAUCUAUUCGUUGAUGGAAAUUCUUUAUGUUGAUGCUCUUUACUUUUUGAUAUAUAUAUAUAUAUAUAUAUAUAUAUAUAUAUAUAUAUAUAUAUAUAUAUUUGCCAAUCAGUUUGAGCUUAUAAGGUUGCUCAGGUUAGCCUUGAACUCAUGACCUCGCCUUCACAAGUGCCACGACCUCUGGCAGGAGCCACUUUGGACCCCACUUUUUGGUAUAUUUUUAGAAAGGCAAAUACUGGUUGUUUCUUUCUAUGUGUAAUGAUUCUUUCAGAAGCUCUUGUAGAGCAGGCCUGGUGGUAAUAAAAUCUCUGAGUACUUGCUUGUUCA
rnacentral:lncRNA from 13 species